CUUUGAAGUUUACCUGGCUUCCAGACCAUCAAAUCUUCAGAGACUAUGGUUACACAGACCUGUCUGCUGGUAGAAAAUAUUACAGGAUCAAUUAAUUCAUUCAUAUUAAUUUUAGUACAUAUCGUACUUGCAAUAGAUCAGCUUUCUUUCUGUUUUUCUGUGAGUACAGUUCUUCGUUUUUUCUCACCGUCUGCAGCAAUUUUAUGAUGGCCACAACUAUACACAGUCAUCACCAGUCGAAUAAUCCCCAUUAAAAAAACCUUCAA
rnacentral:lncRNA from 1 species